GCAAGUCGAACGAACUCUUCGGAGUUAGUGGCGGACGGGUGAGUAACACGUGGGUAACGUGCCUUUAGGUUCGGAAUAACUCAGGGAAACUUGUGCUAAUACCGAAUGUGCCCUUCGGGGGAAAGAUUUAUCGCCUUUAGAGCGGCCCGCGUCUGAUUAGCUAGUUGGUGAGGUAAAGGCUCACCAAGGCGACGAUCAGUAGCUGGUCUGAGAGGAUGAUCAGCCACAUUGGGACUGAGACACGGCCCAAACUCCUACGGGAGGCAGCAGUGGGGAAUCUUGCGCAAUGGGCGAAAGCCUGACGCAGCCAUGCCGCGUGAAUGAUGAAGGUCUUAGGAUUGUAAAAUUUUUUCACCGGGGACGAUAAUGACGGUACCCGGAGAAGAAGCCCCGGCUAACUUCGUGCCAGCAGCCGCGGUAAUACGAAGGGGGCUAGCGUUGCUCGGAAUUACUGGGCGUAAAGGGAGCGUAGGCGGACAUUUAAGUCAGGGGUGAAAUCCCGGGGCUCAACCUCGGAAUUGCCUUUGAUACUGGGUGUCUUGAGUAUGAGAGAGGUGUGUGGAACUCCGAGUGUAGAGGUGAAAUUCGUAGAUAUUCGGAAGAACACCAGUGGCGAAGGCGACACACUGGCUCAUUACUGACGCUGAGGCUCGAAAGCGUGGGGAGCAAACAGGAUUAGAUACCCUGGUAGUCCACGCCGUAAACGAUGAUUGCUAGUUGUCGGGAUGCAUGCAUUUCGGUGACGCAGCUAACGCAUUAAGCAAUCCGCCUGGGGAGUACGGUCGCAAGAUUAAAACUCAAAGGAAUUGACGGGG
rnacentral:rRNA from 1 species